UCCCCGCUCUGUGGCCUUGGGCGAGCCACUUCAUUCCUCUGGGCCUCGGCUGGCCCAUCUCUAAAAUUGGCCCAUGUCUCAAACGGGGAAGACGACGGCGAGCCUCGAGAGGGCCAGGGAUGGGGGGGCAUUGUCCGACCCGACCCCACCCCAGCGCCCGGGAAGUUGCCGGCCACCUGGCCGUGAGCCCGUCACUGGGCACGGAGGGUCUCCAUCUGCGGCCCAGCUGUCCAUUCCGAGCGCUUAGUUCAGUGCUCCGCACGUAGGAAGGGCUCAGUGAGUGCUGUUGAAUAAAUGAUGAAUGAAUGACCGAGGGGCGGGGAGUCCGGGAGGAAGGGCCACCAAAUGCUCUGUCACGCUACACUGCUCUGCCUUUACUUAAGCCCGAACAGCACUGGGGACAUUGAUCCGUAGGAGGACCCCAGAGUGGCCUGUCAGGGAGUAUCACAGUUUCAGCCACAGUCAGUCAUCUAAUCUUUCAAUGGGAUUUAUUGAGUGCCUUCCAGUGCCGGGCCCAGUGCUGAACACUUGUGGGGAGAAGACCGGGAGCUAGACGUACAUUCUCCACUCUUGAAGAGCUGGUGGCCUCACAACAGGACUCUACUGACCCAUGCUUCUGGAGGCCUACAGGUGCAACAUACUGUUGCCAACUUGGAGGGGAGACAGGGGAAGGGAACACAGUAAGUGCUGAGGCCACUCCAUCACUGCCACCACAGCCAACAGCAGAAGACCAAACCCCAAGAUGAAGGGAGGGAAAAGGAACUUCAAAGAGUCACCUGGCAUCAAGCGUCUUUUCAGAGCCCCCAUCUCUGGCCUCCAGUUAACGUGGAGGAAUUUCAACUCCCUCGUCUCCCUCGUCUCCCUCCCUCCCGCCUGUCUGGAGUUGAGACUCAGAGCUGGAAGUCGCAGUUUCUCUUAGAGAAAAAGGCCAUGGUAAUCCUACUCUUUGUCCAGGUGCCAUCCCCUACUAUGGCAGGGAAAUCCAAUCAGUCAAUCACCCAAUCAAUCAAUGGUAUUUAUUGAAUGCUUAU